rnacentral:rRNA from 1 species
UUCCGGUUGAUCCUGCCGGACCCGACUGCUAUCGGAGUUGGACUAAGCCAUGCGAGUCGUACGUCCCGGGCUGGCGGGACGUGGCGUACGGCUCAGUAACACGUGGCCAGCCUACCCUGCGGACGGCUAUAACCCCGGGAAACUGGGGCUAAUAGCCGAUAGGGGAUAGGCGCUGGAAGGCCCUAUCCCCGAAAAGGCUACACACCCAUGCCGUGUGUAGCCGCCGCAGGAUGGGGCUGCGCCCUAUCAGGUAGUAGGUGGGGUAACGGCCCACCUAGCCUAUAACGGGUGCGGGCCCUGGGAGGGGGAGCCCGGAGAUGGGCACUGAGACAAGGGCCCAGGCCCUACGGGGCGCAGCAGGCGCGAAACCUCCGCUAUGCGCGAAAGCGCGACGGGGCCACUCCGAGUGCCGCCCGCUGAGGGCGGCUUUUGCCCAGUCCAAAAGGCUGGGCGAAUAAGGGGAGGGCAAGAUUGGUGUCAGCCGCCGCGGUAAUACCAACUCCCCGAGUGNUCGGGACGAUUAUUGGGCUUAAAGCGUUCGUAGCCGGUCGGGUGUGUCGUCGGUUAAAUCCGACGUCUCAAGCGUCGGACUGCCGGCGAUACUACCCGGCUAGGGAGCGGGAGAGCGGGCGGUAUUNCCGGGGUAGGGUAAAUCCUCAGAUNCCGGGAGGACCAUCGGUGUGCAAAGCGGGCCGCUAAACGCGUNCGACCGGUAAGGGACGAAAGC